CAAAGAGUUACAAUCAUUCUCAUAUAGCAUCACGUACAGGGCUUAAAAGGAAAGCAGUCAAACGUCAAAAAUUUCUUGAACUAGAUUUCGAAGUGUUCGUAGUGUAAGCGGCAAGAACAACAGUCGAUAAGGGAUUGUACAUAGUUAACUAGGUCUUCAUUACCUGCAAACCAGGAUUUUACCUGGAUCAAACUUAACACGCUUCCGUCUCAAAAAAGAUGCUUAUCUCUCUCUUCUUGGGAGGCCGAUGGUCACUAAGAACUCUGCUGCCCAAAAAACUGUAAUUCUUAAGGUUUGCUGUCGGUUACAGGUAUUAAGAGAAAGAAUAAAUGUUAUAUACUUUUUCCGCUUUAUUUAGUAAAAAAUUAUGUCAUUGUAAGAUUGUUAUGUAUGUAGUACACGUUUGACAAUGCACAAUGACAUUGAGAAUGGGAAUGAUAUAAACAGUUGGAUUGUAAUUUAGGUAGUGCAGGUUUCUCGUUGAUCUCGAGGACAUCCUGCGAUAAGGUUUUUCGUAUAAAUUCUACCUUCUCCUUUCCCUUGACAUAUGUAGCGUCCAUUGGUGAUACCAGCAGGCGCACUAUAGUUGAAAAUAAGUGUGCCUGCGUAUGUCCUUCUUCCCAUUUAAUCGGCCAGAUUGCUUCUCUCUCUCUCUGGUAGCUCACAUCUAAGCUGCUAAAUGAAAACGGAGGUUUGAACAUAAAAUCUGCAAGUUGGUGCCCAUUAAAUACCGCUAAAUCCUUUGGAGUAAAUGACGUUUUGUAUGUUUUAAAUCCUUGAACCUCAAUAUCGAUAACCAGUUUUCUGCUACUGAUUCACCAACUGUUUCGAGAACUACUACUGGACUGAUAGAAAGCAUCGCU